AAGUCGUAACAAGGUUUCCGUAGGUGAACCUGCGGAAGGAUCAUUAAUGAGUUUGAAUGGGUUGUUGCUGGCCUUUCGAGGCAUGUGCACGCCUUUCUCAAUCCAACCAACACCUGUGAACUUAUGGGGAAGAUGAAGAGUGACGCUGGAUAACGGCUGAUCUCUAAGUCCUCUCUUCUUUACACCAAACUAAAGUUAUAGAACGUCCUUUGCUUAAUGCAAACAAAUACAACUUUCAACAACGGAUCUCUUGGCUCUC
rnacentral:misc_RNA from 1 species